UACAGAGGGUGCGAGCGUUGUCCGGAAUCACUGGGCGUAAAGGGCGCGUAGGUGGCGACCCAAGUCGAUGGUGAAAGCUCGCCGCUCAACGGCGAGUCGGCCACCGAUACUGGGUUGCUGGAGCACUGUAGAGGCAGAUGGAAUUCCGGGUGUAGCGGUGGAAUGCGUAGAGAUCCGGAAGAACACCCGUGGCGAAGGCGGUUCUCUGGGACGGUACUGACGCUGAGACGCGAAAGCGUGGGGAGCGAACAGG
rnacentral:rRNA from 1 species